rnacentral:rRNA from 1 species
AGAGUUUGAUCCUGGCUCAGGACGAACGCUGGCGGCGUGCUUAACUCAUGCAAGUCGAACGCUGAAGUCAGAGCUUGCUCUGGUGGAUGAGUGGCGAACGGGUGAGUAACACGUGAGUAACCUGCCCCUGACUCUGGGAUAAGCGCUGGAAACGGUGUCUAAUACUGGAUAUGAGCAACGGUCGCAUGGCCUGUUGUUGGAAAGAUUUAUCGGUUGGGGAUGGACUCGCGGCCUAUCAGCUUGUUGGUGAGGUAAUGGCUCACCAAGGCGACGACGGGUAGCCGGCCUGAGAGGGUGACCGGCCACACUGGGACUGAGACACUGCCCAGACACCUACGGGUGGCUGCAGUCGAGAAUCUUCGGCAAUGGGGGAAACCCUGACCGAGCGACGCCGCGUGCGGGAUGAAGGCCUUCGGGUUGUAAACCGCUGUCGUAAGGGAACAAAUCCAUAGGGGUACUCCCCUAUGGUUGAGUGAUCUUAGGAGGAAGGACGGGCUAAGUUCGUGCCAGCAGCCGCGGUAAUA